GGAGAAGCGAGCCUCGGGCGGUGCCUCCGGGCGGGGACCCGCGCCCGGCACCCCCUGCCCAUCUCCGCCCGAAACCCUCCUCAGACACAGGAAUGCGCCCGGGGAAGGCAGGGAUGGUUACUCACGGCCAAGAACCUGUCUCAACUCAGAAAUCUUUACCAAGCUUUACAAGGUUCUUUGUAUGUUAUGUUCUCUGGAGCUGGUGGUAGCCAAGGUGACAUGGACUCUCAGAUACAUUUAUUUUGCUGGCAGCAUCCAUGACACUGGACAUCACAGCUCAUCCAUACCAACCAAGAGAUUACCCCAAAACCUGGACUGAAGAGCCUCUCCAAGAAAAGUGGAAGGGACCAUAUCAAGUGUUGCUAACCAUCAAUACUUGGUGAAGGUGCAAGAAGUAGAUUUGUGGCUCCCCAACUUAGGAUGGUUAAAACAACUCUUUGCACUUAUUAUGCUGUUCUUACUCAUGCUGUUGAUUACUUAUUGCAAUACAUACUGCUGUAUAGACUAGGCCAAUACAGUAAGUGGAUAUGAGACUUUGAAGAAAUUAUAUUAAAGUCUCAAAGGGGUAAUUUUUUUACCAAACAAGUUAUAUUAUUAUGAAUAAACUGAUGUUUAUAAUAUGAUUUGUUGUUAUUAGGAAUUAAUUAUUGUUGACUGUGUAACCUAGCAUACUGCUUGUAUCAUUUAUUUCCCAGUUUUUGGUGACACAGUGUCUUGGUUUAGAAGAUAAAUGUCUGCAAAGGAAGGCGUGAACCUUCCUGGAAUGCAAAGAUGACCCCUCCUUCAAAAUUAUUGUAACUUUGAAAUUACAGAGCUUUGAGGCAAAAAUACAGGAAAGGAAAUAACAGUUCUUUACUAGAAAAUAUGUAUGUAUGUAGAGUGUAAGAGAGCAGAACAGACAAUACCACAGAAGCAGAAGUUUCGCACCUGCUGAGCGCCACGUUUCCCCUCUGGUGUAGUUAUGACCACAGACAGCAAGUGUACCAUGAUCUCCUCAGCUGGUGCCGGGAGGGAAAGAAGAAAAUUUCAAACUCAGGGGCAGCGUUCGAUCUCAGCACUACCAAGGAGCAGCCGGCAGAAGGAGGGGAAGCCAGCACAUUUGACUGUAGUGCCGAAUUGCAGCGUAGCAGUGUCCUGGAGCCAAAUGCACAACUGUCCCACAGCACUGCGCGACCACUCCCUCUGCUCCACAGAAACGGCAGAAAGUGGGGAAGGACUCUCCCCCCCCAGUGAAGUUUUGGGCUCACACAAUAUCCCCAGUGUUAUAAAUAAACAUGCAAUUGUUGGCUUUCGCUAUGAUAUAUUGGGUUUUACAAAUUAUUUUGCUAUAGUAGAUUUUGUAAUCUCUUUUUAACUGCUUUUAAUAUAGUAUAAUUUGCCAGCCUUUUAUGGUUGCUCUAAUCCCUGCGUAGAUUGUAUAUUUUAGUGUGAAAAAACAGACUUUAGGCUUUUGCAAAAUAUUAAAAUAGAGGCUAUGUGCUGUGUAUUAUAACAUUAACUUUUGUGGAAGUAAUUGUGAAAUAAUAACUAAUGCCUUUAUUUUUGUAACUAACUAACUAACCAACCAUAGUGAAAUAGCUAAUAUUGAUUGAAAGUACUUGUAAAAAUGGCUAAGAUGUCUGUAUGAUAGAAUAACAU